rnacentral:rRNA from 1 species
GAUGAACGCUGGCGGCGUGCCUAAUACAUGCAAGUCGAGCGAACGGACGAGAAGCUGGCUUCUCUGAUGUUAUCGGCGGACGGGUUAUUAACACGUGGAUAACCUACCUAUAGGACUGGGAUAACUUCGGGAAACCGUAACGUAUACCGGAUAAUAUUUUGAACCGCAUGGUUCAAGAGUGAAAUACGGUCUUUCGGGCACUUAUAGAUGAAUCCGCGCUGCAUUAGCUAGUUGUUAAGGUAACGGCUUACCAAGGCAACGAUGCAUAGCCGACCUGAGAGGGUGAUCGGCCACACUGGCACUGAGACACGGUCCACACUCCUACGGGAGGCAGCAGUAGGGACUCUUACGCAAUGGGCGAAAGCCUGACGGAGCAACGCCGCGUGAGUGAUGAAGGUCUUCGGAUCGUAAAACUCUGUUAUUAGGGAAGAACAUAUGUGUAAGUAACUGUGCACAUAUUGACGGUACCUAAUCAGAAAGCCACGGCUAACUCCGUG